GGGGGUAUAGUGUAAUGGUUAGCACCGCGGGUUUCGAACCCGCAAACCUCGGUUCGAUUCCGAGUACCCUCGCCA
rnacentral:tRNA from 1 species